GUGUUUUAUUUCACAAAACCAAACUCGGCAGCCGUAAAGAUAAUAAAAAACGAAGGCCCAUAUGACCGGUAUGUAUAAAAAACCUUAAGAAAAGGAAAGAGAGAGCGAACCCUAAUUUCUUCUAAUCAUGCCGCCGAUGAUCAGUCUUAGAUCCGUCAUUGCGCAGUGCCGUGAUGUGGUCUCGCCGCAAUUUCUGUUCAUCCCGUAACGUCAACGAGUCGAUGACAGGCGAAGGAAGUUCGAUGACGGUUGUGCAAAAGGGUAUUAAUGCUGGCUUUUCACUUUUUGUGUAUGGAUUUGGGGCCUACUUGGUUAGGGACUGUAUGAAGAUGAAUAAACGCCGUCGAGAGUGGGAGAAAGCUGAAGAAGAGAGGAAAAGAAAAGCUCACGAUCUGGCUUUUUCGGUUUUCAAUAACUAAUCCGUGAGUCUUCAAUGAAUGAAUUCAGAAUAAAAGUUUGUGUUGGCUAUGCGUGUGUCUUCAAUGAUGAAUGAAUUCAGAAUAAAAGUUUGUGUUUAGUUUUUGUUUGGUACUGUGCUGGGAACAAAAAAAAGGAAGCUUAAAUAAUCUAUGGUUGUGACUUGUGAUUGAUGUUGUGAAGAUUUGGUCGAAAGAUUUUAUUUAUUUCUAGCCUGGCAAACUUGAUUUGU